CCUACGGGUGGCAGCAGUGAGGAAUAUUGGUCAAUGGUCGGGAGCCUGAACCAGCGAAGCCGCGUGAGGGAUGAAGGUACAGAGUAUCGUAAACCUCUUUUGUCAGGGAACAAAGGCGGGGACGUGUCCCCGGAUGAGUGUACCUGAAGAAAAAGCAUCGGCUAACUCCGUGCAAGCAGCCGCGGUAAUACGGAGGAUGCGAGCGUUAUCGGGAAUUAUGGGGUUUAAAGGGUGCGCAGGUGGUCUGUUAAGUCAGGGGUCAAAGCCCGGGGCUCAACCCCGGCCCGCUGUUGAUACUGGCAGACUCGAGUUGGAGAGAGGUAAGCGGAAUGCGCGGUGUAGCGGUGAAAUGCAUAGAUAUCGGGAAGAACUCCGAUUGCGAAGGCAGCAUGCUGGCUCCACACUGACGCUGAGGCACGAAAGCGUGGGUAGCGAACAGGAUUAGAUACCCGAGUAGUC
rnacentral:rRNA from 1 species